AUAAGAUCUAAGUUUCAAGUUUUAGGGUCUUUUAUAGUAAGAUAAGGUUAAAAUAGAUUAAGGUAAUGUAAUGACAGAAUAUUAUGAAAAAUGGAAAGGAUUUGCUGUGACAAUUAACAACUAGGAUACAAAAAAGGGAGGAGUGAGGAGGUCAAAGAAAGAAGGUAAUGACAGUUAAGGAUUUGAGAAUAUUGGACUUGUUUUUUAAAUGUUUAUGGCUUAUUUUUGUUUUUUGAUUGUGUUGUGUUACGUGCUUUGUUCUUAUUUUUUUGAUUUUGAUUUUUAUCAAUUUGUAUUGUUUGAUUGUGGUUUGUUUUUCUUCUGUUUUUUCUUUUUCUUUUUCUUUUUUGUUUUUUCUGUAACUUUAAAAUUCUUAAUAAAUAUCAUUUAAAAAUAAAUAAAUAGAUAAGCACCAGACUUCAUAGAUGAACACUAACACACUCCACCCUGAAAAUUGUUUAAUGCAUCAGACCUGGAGCAAGUUAAUGAAACUUUUAUCACCUGAAGGAAUGAACAGUCUGAGAAGCUGUUGGUCUCCAGUACUCCUAUCCAUCUAUUUUCCCCACUUAUGUGGGCAAUAGGCCCAAGAGAAGGUUGUCGUUUGGGAAAUACUGUUCUUUCUCUCCCUCCUUUGAGUCCUGCUAAGCACUGUUGCAGAAAGUGGCUAACAUUUAUUUUUGUACAACCAGGAGCAUUUCUUCUAAACAACAGUUUUCUUACAGUCUGCAAGUAUAUGAGAAAUCAUGAUCUGCCUUCACACUAGGUUUGAGUAGGUUGUCAGAAUAGUGCUGCCAACUGACCCACUGUGGCCUUCCUAGGGGAACUGAGCAGCUGCUUGGCUCUGGUGGGAGCCAUUUAAUGAUUUCCCACAAUGCAAUGCCCUUGAGCAACUGAUGGAGUGCUGCUACACUGUACACAUGCAUCACUACUUUUCAAUACUUGUUAUCAAAUUAGCCAUAUAAUCAUCUCCCACAUGGAACCAGUGUUUCACACACAAUUUUAUUGUCAUACUUCUGUACCACUUUUCAUCACACUGUGAGCAAAAGUGGUUCCAACAUCACUUCAGAUUUGUAAAACAGUUAAAAGUGCAACAAUAAUUUCAGAACAGAAACAAGAAGGAGCCCCAAAGUAAAAACAGUUCAAAAACCCAGAGCAACUUGCAUCAAUACUCAGGACCCCGAUUAUUCAGGGAUUUAUACCAACACCAUGAAUACCAACACCAUGAAUAUAGCCCGGUAACAUGCAUGUAGGUUAGGUCCCUCAUCCAUAAUCGAAUCAUGGGAUCAUGGGACAUUCAUGAGGGCAAAUUGACAUGGCUACCUAGGGGGAUAGGGACAGAUAGAGAAUGGUCCAACAGAGGGGAUAGCUUUGAAAUACCGUAUGUGCCACGUCUUCUCGAUUCUUGAAUGCCAUAUCUUGUUUAGUUUAUUGAAUUUAAUUUAUUAAUAAAAUAUUAUAUUUAUAUCACUCACUCAUGAUAUAUCAAAGCAGUGUGUGUGUGUGUGUGUGUGUGUGUGUAUACACACACAUUUCUCCUUAAAAGAAUACAAAAUAAUCGCGUCUGGUUCAUCUUGGGGGGAAAAGAACAACUACUGAAUAGGUCUGUCAAUAUCAAAAGUCUUCCAAAGAUAUUAGCACCAAAGAUGCCUGCCAAAUCUUCUGGAAGGGAAUUCCACCACAUUGGCCUAGCAACACUAAGUGCUCAACUUCAAACUGAAGACAGCUGAGCUUCUAAGAUGCAGGAGACAACUAAGAGCACUCAUUUGGAUGAUCUGAAUAAUUGAGCUGGGAUAUAUACACUCAGGCAGUCCUUAAGAUAUUUAGCACUGUUGUUCCAGGCACUGUAUAUAUAAGAAACGUGAACCUGGCUCAGUAGCAUAUGUGCAUAUGUUUUAGCAGAGGUAUCACGUGCUGCUGGCCAUCUGUACCCAUCUAGCCAUUGCAUUCGUCGCUAGCUGAAGCUUCCAGACCAGACCCAAGGGCAGCUGCACGUACAGCACUCUGCAGUAAUCUAGUCUUAAAGUUACCGAUGUGUUAAUAACAGCAGCCAGACUAUUCUCAUUCAGAUACAACAUAGCUAGUGUACCAAACAAAGGUGGUAAAAGGCAUUCCACAGAAUGGGCUUGAAAUGACAAAGAUGUAUCCAGGUGUACCUCCAUGCUAUGUACCUGCUCCUUCAAGGUGAGCACAACUCUGUCCAGAAGUGGCAACUGGCCUAUAUUCUAGAUAUGGAAACAACCUACCGACAGAGUCUCCAUCUUCCCAAUGUUCAAACCCAAUUUACUGGCCAUCAUCCAGUCCACCACUGCAUUCAGAGCCAAUGAGAGAGGGAGACAACUACCUCUAGUUCUGUCCCCAUCCUCUCUGCUGAGUUCUACAAGGACAACACCAAGGAGGAGGAAGCUGACAGGAAGUCCAUCCUCUGGACUGGAUGUAAGAAAGAAGGCAGGCAGGUUGAAGGGUGGGGCAGAAUGAGUUUGGUGGGGCAGUGCAAUAUUUGCCCUUAUAGACCAGCCUUCACUGCACUGGGGCAAAAACAGUGCCCUGCUGAACCUCAUAGCACAAGUGUCGUAGAGCCAAAGAGGACUCUCCCAUUACUACUCUGUUGAUUCAACCGUACAGCUAGGAACAAAAUCAUUGUAAUACAGUGUGUCUAGCACCCAUCCUGAAUGGUCAGUCCAGUGGCUAGAAAAGUAAGAAUAGAAGGGUUGUACUCCCCCAUCCCACUUUCAAUUUUAAAGACCAUUAGGAUGACCAGGACUGCUUCAGUCCUGAAAUCAGGCCUUAUCCCAUGUUAAAAUUGCUAAGAAACUAUCAGGAUGUCCUGGUCCUCCCUUCUUCCAUAUUUGUAUGAGCCCAGCUAUGAUGGUAUGAGCUCCUAAAGCAUGUACUGUAUGUGGUAGCUGCGGGCAAUUAUUAAUCAGUCUAAAAUAUUUAUCACCCCCACCACAUAUUUUACAGGUGCAUGACAGGGAUGUAUGAGGAUUUUUAGAAUAGUUGUAAUAUUUUUAUUUAUUUUUAAAAUUACGUUUAUAUGCUGCCCUUCACCCGCAGAUCUCAGGGCAGUUAACAAAAUAAUAAAAGGUUGUUUUCGAAAUUCUUAAAAUACCAUCGAGUUGCAUCUUACACGCAUGUAACUUGCGCAACUGCAGUUUUUCCUGCUUGGUGGCUGGUCAGCUGACAUUGCACAAAUUAAAUGCAUGCAAGGCAGACAGCUUAAAAGCUAUUUCCGUCACAGGAUAACCCAGUGCAGAAAGAGGUUUUAAGCUCUCAGGCUUGCUUACUGGGCUCUGGAAGGCUCUUGUGAAAUCUCGGAUGGCCCCAUGAGAUAUUGUAGGUGGUAAGGCCCAUUUGGCAUGCUGGCUUCACAAAGGUAAGGGUGCUCAUGUGGAGGAAGUUCCAGGGUUGUUUUGACUAUACAUGGUUUUGGCUUUACACACAAUCCCCAGAACACAACCCCAACCAAAGCUGCAAGUUGAUUGUAUUUAGUUUACUUUAUAUUAAGUGUAAUUUUAAUUAAAAAGUGUAAUUUUAAUGUUCUAUCUAGUUUAUGCACAUAGGUACUCUUCCAUCCUUAUUAGAAGCCAUACUUCUUUAUUUCUCUUUGAGUUGCAACAUACAAAUAAGAACUGGAUAAAACAUAUAAUAAAUUAUCAAGUGUAGCAUUUUUGUUACUUUUACCUAAAUUCUGGCUUGCGGUCAUACGUGUGUGUGUGUGUGUGACUAAUCUAUUAAAAUCACAUUAUGCCUGAUAAGAAAGCAGUAAGCCACUCUGAUUGCUGAGUGACAGACUUAAGAACAGUCUCAACACAUUCUUUAUGGCAUUCAGCCAAUCUCUCUAGGAACACAAUGACCCCAACUUUAUUCAUAAAUCUUAGUUUGAAAAAUACUCUAUUCCCUAAAGCAAUUCUCAGCACUCCUUUAAAAGCUUUGGUGGGGCGGGGGGGGGCGGCAGGGAGAGAUCAGAUUAGAGUUAAACAGGUUAUGCAGAUGUUAUGAGAAUGUAACUUCUAAAAAUAACUUCAUAGAUCAAUUUAAGUAAACUUCAAAUAGAAAUCUCACCUUCUGCACAGCACACCACUUGUGUGUUACAUAAUUCUGCUCUCAAAUUAUCAGAUUGAUAUAGUAACUGUGAAAGAAAGCCUUAGACACAAAAGGACGCUUGUACUUUAAAUGGAUUUCUGUCUUGAAAGUUUUAUGCCAAUACAUUAUGUACAGUAUCUGAUGGAGCUAUUAUGCUUGACAUUGUUUUUUUAGAAUGCCUCCAGGUGGACAAGAAGAGAAUAAAUCCUUUUAAUAUAUAUGCUCACCAAAUGCAUUCAUAAAAGCUAUAUUGGGGAGGAAGAUUUUGGUAUUAUCUCCUAACUCUUAUUGCAAUUUUCUAUAGGAAAAAAUAAAGUACAACUUAGACAUAUUUGAUG
rnacentral:lncRNA from 1 species